AAAAUGACUCUCGGCAACGGAUAUCCCGGCUCUCGCAUCGAUGAAGAACGUAGCGAAAUGCGAUACUUGGUGUGAAUUGCAGAACCCCGUGAACCAUCGAGUCUUUGAACGCAAGUUGCGCCCGAAGCCGUUAGGCUUAGGGCACGUCUGCCUGGGUGUCACGC
rnacentral:rRNA from 1 species